CCGGAUUAGUCUGGAUGUUCAUCCGCAGACUACAGUCGUGAGCCCGCCACUUUCUGAGUCCCAAUUUUCUCAAAGUUUGAUCUGAUACUUUCUCCAGAGAAUGAAUGCAGGUCAACUUGAGAUACAUCUCCAGGUUUCAUUCAGUUAACGCAGCGAUGGAUGAAUCAGCAUGCAACGGGUCCAUAGGAUUAUUAACCCUACAGCUAGCUUAUAUGGUCAGUGGUUUUCUAUAAAUUACAUAUUGCUAAUGGUUUUCAAAGAUAGAGAAUAUAUUUUAACUUAAACCAUAACUUCUUAAAACGUCGACGCCUGUAGCCGUCACUCUGAAUGGAUGCACAAAUGCUCACAGCCCAUCAGAUUGGAAGAACGAUGCUGCUUUUCCUCGGCCUCAGCGUAAACCGGAGUGUUGCCCCGUUGGAUCAGCUAAGUGGCGUUUUUAGGCUUCACAGCACGGCGCUGUGCUGCAGGUCUGAAGUAAACAUGGGUAACAGUGAGUUGGGGGAGAUUAAACCAUUGUGGAGAUCGCUACAUACUUUCUGUUUCCUCUGCGACUGAAGCAUCCACAGUUACUUAAUGGACCAAUUGGACUCUUUGGAUAGGCAAUGGAAAUAGAGGGAAUUAGAUAAGUGCAUGAAGCCAACCUCUGCCAGUAUGAAUGAAAG